rnacentral:rRNA from 1 species
CCCUGAUGUUAGCGGCGGACGGGUGAGUAACACGUGGGUAACCUGCCUGUAAGACUGGGAUAACUCCGGGAAACCGGGGCUAAUACCGGAUGGUUGUUUGAACCGCAUGGUUCAAACAUAAAAGGUGGCUUCGGCUACCACUUACAGAUGGACCCGCGGCGCAUUAGCUAGUUGGUGAGGUAAUGGCUCACCAAGGCGACGAUGCGUAGCCGACCUGAGAGGGUGAUCGGCCACACUGGGACUGAGACACGGCCCAGACUCCUACGGGAGGCAGCAGUAGGGAAUCUUCCGCAAUGGACGAAAGUCUGACGGAGCAACGCCGCGUGAGUGAUGAAGGUUUUCGGAUCGUAAAGCUCUGUUGUUAGGGAAGAACAAGUACCGUUCGAAUAGGGCGGUACCUUGACGGUACCUAACCAGAAAGCCACGGCUAACUACGUGCCAGCAGCCGCGGUAAUACGUAGGUGGCAAGCGUUGUCCGGAAUUAUUGGGCGUAAAGGGCUCGCAGGCGGUUUCUUAAGUCUGAUGUGAAAGCCCCCGGCUCAACCGGGGAGGGUCAUUGGAAACUGGGGAACUUGAGUGCAGAAGAGGAGAGUGGAAUUCCACGUGUAGCGGUGAAAUGCGUAGAGAUGUGGAGGAACACCAGUGGCGAAGGCGACUCUCUGGUCUGUAACUGACGCUGAGGAGCGAAAGCGUGGGGAGCGAACAGGAUUAGAUACCCUGGUAGUCCACGCCGUAAACGAUGAGUGCUAAGUGUUAGGGGGUUUCCGCCCCUUAGUGCUGCAGCUAACGCAUUAAGCACUC